rnacentral:rRNA from 1 species
AACGAACGCUGGCGGCGCGUUUUAAGCAUGCAAGUCGAGCGGCAAGGGCCUUCGGGCCCCUAGAGCGGCGGACGGGUGAGUAACACGUGGACAAUCUGCCCCCCGGCCGGGGAUAGCCCAGGGAAACCUGGAUUAAUACCGGAUGAGACGGGACCCGCGGAGGCGGGAUCCGGGAAAGGCGCUGCGGCGCCGCCGGGGGAUGAGUCUGCGUCCCAUUAGCUUGACGGCGGGGUAACGGCCCACCGUGGCGACGAUGGGUAGCCGGCCUGAGAGGGUGUACGGCCACAUUGGAACUGAGACACGGUCCAGACUCCUACGGGAGGCAGCAGCUAAGAAUCUUCCGCAAUGGGCGAAAGCCUGACGGAGCGACGCCGCGUGAACGAAGAAGGCCGUGAGGUUGUAAAGUUCUUUUCGGGAGGGGGAACAACCGUGGCAGGGAAUGGCCGCGGGAUGACGUGAAUCCCGGAAUAAGCCCCGGCUAACUACGUGCCAGCAGCCGCGGUAACACGUAGGGGGCGAGCGUUGUUCGGAAUCAUUGGGCGUAAAGGGCGUGCAGGCGGUCCUGCAAGUCCGGCGUGAAAGACCCCGGCCCAACCGGGGGGGCGCGCUGGAAACUGCAGGGCUUGAGUACAGGAGGGGAUGCCGGAAUUCCAGGUGUAGGGGUGAAAUCUGUAGAUAUCUGGAGGAGCACCAAUGGCGAAGGCAGGCAUCUGGCCAUGUACUGACGCUGAGACGCGAAAGUGCGGGGAGCAAACA